rnacentral:rRNA from 1 species
GACGAACGCUGGCGGCGUGCUUAACACAUGCAAGUCGAACGGAAAGGCCCUGCUUGCAGGGUACUCGAUUGGCGAACGGGGGAGUAACACGUGGGGGAUCUGCCCUUCACAUCGGGAUAAGCUUGGGAAAAUGGGUCUAAUACCGGAUAGGAGCCUGCUUUCGAGAGGGGGUUGGAAUGAUAUUUGGGUGUAGGAUGCCACUGAGGCCUGUCAGCUUGUCGGUGGGGUAAGGGCCUGCCAAGGCGGCGACGGGUAGCGGGCCUGAGAGGGUGUACGGCCACAUUGGGACUGAGAUACAGCCAAGAGUCGGACGGGAGGCAGCAGUGGGGAAUAUUGGACAAUGGGCGGAAGCCUGAUGGAGCGACGCCGCGUGGGGGAUGAAGGCCUUCGGGUUGUAAACUCCUUUCGCUAGGGACGAAGCUUUGUUGUGACGGUACCUAGAUAAGAAGCACCGGCUAAAUACGUG